UACGUAGGGGGCAAGCGUUGUCCGGAAUCAUUGGGCGUAAAGAGCGUGUAGGCGGCCCGAUAAGUCCGCCGUGAAAGUCCAGGGCUCAACCCUGGAAUGCCGGUGGAAACUGUCGGGCUAGAGUCCGGAAGAGGCGAGUGGAAUUCCUGGUGUAGCGGUGGAAUGCGCAGAUAUCAGGAGGAACACCGAUAGCGAAGGCAGCUCGCUGGGACGGUACUGACGCUGAGGCGCGAAGGCGUGGGGAGCAAACAGG
rnacentral:rRNA from 1 species